UUUCCAUUUCUCCCAGAUGACCAGCCAGAUUUGGAAUCCUGCAGGUGAUUCACAGUCAGGAGAGCAGAGAAAUAUUAUUUGGAGCAGAAAUUUUAAGCUGAAGAGGCAAAGAGAAGCUAGGAAACCUUGUUGCAAUGCAGCCAAGUGAUGGUAAUGAAUACGGGAAAGGAGCCCAAACUGCUUAAAUGAGGGGCAGAUGUAUUCAGAAAAGGAGACUGAAGCUGAGUGCUGCCAGCCUGGCAAGUCCUGCUAAGGCUGUGUAAGUAACAGAGUCACAGUGCACUUCUGAGCCGGAAUGGACAUAGUAAACGUGAUGUUUGGCAGCCUUGAAGCAGUUUUACAAACUCAGUGGACAUCAUUACUUCUACUGUCCAGCGAACGACACCUUGGAAUGAAUUCUUGCUACAAAAUAACAUUCCUUGGACAACACUUUGGAAGAUGUUACUGAAGGAAGAAGUCAAGAAUUACAGUUUCAUCACAAUUGUUAUAUUCAAUAACAGAUGGUCUUGGAUACAUAUAAGAUGUCUGUGGACUAGUUUUACUUUUAAUCUUCACUGCAGUAGAUGAGUGCCUUCACAGCUUUACUAGAAAACAGGGUCUUUUAAAAGGAAAAGUUGAAUUAGGGUUAAACUUCCCUAAAGAAACUGAAUUAACAGAACUUUUAUUGCGCUCUCAUCAUACAAGGUGCUAGAAAUUAGGCAAAGAUAAGAAAAAGACAAUUGUGGUUUUCAGAGGCCAACAUUUUGUGGAGAAGUUCACAGACCUGUGCAUUUUAUGUACCUAACAUGGUUUAUACUAGUUACUUUGGUGAACUACAGACAAGGAAAAGCAAAACUGAGGGGAGGAGGAAGGUUCACUAAGAGGUGACUUUGGGUCAAAGACUGCCUGAAGACUAGGAAGCAUGUGUGUGAUGUUUGGGUUCCCCCCUAGCCCCUCAAUCAGAAAAACAGGAGAAAGCAGGAGCCCAGACAGGAGUGUGCCAAGGCCUGACUGGCCCAGAGAACAGUGAGUAAUGCCAAGUGGCAGGAGGCAGAGAGCAGGAGAGGACUGGGAAAGAGGCGGAGGGUGAACUCAAGAGUCUGCUCCAAGAACACCGGAAGGAAUUCAGAUCUUUCUGCAAAGCAGGGCUUCCAAAGGAGAGUGGGCAAGGGGUGUUAGAGUCCCACUGACAAUUUACUUUUGUCUCUUUCUUUAAAAUUUUUAAUGUGUGUGUGCUUUGUUCCGAUUUAUCUAUUAGUGGAGCAGUAAAUGGAUAUCUUAUGUGGCUUAAUACACAUCCAUAAUUAAAUGUUUUCCCAGAUAGCACAGUUCAAAACAUGUGGACAACUCGUAUGAUGGACUACAUCGUCUCCAAUUUCAAGUACAGGACGGAACAUAUUAACUUCUAAAUUAGAUGAUGGAGAUUAUUAGAUCUGGAAGGAUCUUGGAGUAGAUAUAAUUUGACUGAG
ensembl:lncRNA